AGCUUUGCACUGUGGCAGUAUCUAAGCCAAUGAGGUUUAUCUGAGGUGCAGUUAUUGCUAACUGAAAACUUCUCCCGCAAAUUC
rnacentral:snRNA from 1 species